UGGGGAAUAUUGCACAAUGGGCGCAAGCCUGAUGCAGCAACGCCGCGUGAACGAUGAAGGUCUUCGGAUCGUAAAGUUCUGUUGCAGGGGAAGAAUAUGACGGUACCCUGUGAGGAAGCCCCGGCUAACUACGUGCCAGCAGCCGCGGUAAUACGUAGGGGGCUAGCGUUAUCCGGAUUUACUGGGCGUAAAGGGUGCGUAGGUGGUCUUUCAAGUCGGUGGUUAAAGGCUACGGCUCAACCGUAGUUAGCCUCCGAAACUGGAAGACUUGAGUGCAGGAGAGGAAAGUGGAAUUCCCAGUGUAGCGGUGAAAUGCGUAGAUAUUGGGAGGAACACCAGUAGCGAAGGCGGCUUUCUGGACUGCAACUGACACUGAGGCACGAAAGCGUGGGUAGCAAACAGG
rnacentral:rRNA from 1 species